AAUGUUUACUGUCUCCUAGGAGUUUAUCUUAUUAGUUUGGAGUGAGGAAAUAUAUAGUAGUUACAGGAGAAAUUAGAAAUAUGGUAAGAGAGAAGAAGUAGGCAAAGUCAGAUUGAGGUUAAUUUAGUGAGACAGUAGGAGUAAGCCAAAUCUCCAUGAGUUUAUAUUAAGCUAUAAAGUAGAAAUCUGCCAAGUCUGCUUGAGUUUAUAUUUAGUAUGAGAGAAGCAGUAAGCCAAAUAUGCUCAAGUUUCUAUUUGUAAGAGAGUAGAAUUAGGCCAAGUUUGUAAGAGUUAAUAUUUAGUGAGAUAGUAGAAGUAAGCAGAAGCAAAAAAGGUAGAAUGAAAUGAGAAAACAUUUAUACAGAGUUGAUUGUUCUUUUAUUUGCAGAUUGCAAUAACAUGCCUAUCAACUGUGUUAUCAGCGGACUUCAAGUCCUCAGAAAUUGAAGUUGGAGUUGUAACAACAGAACAUCCUAAAUUCAGGGCUUUGACAGAGGAUGAAAAAGAUGCACACCUUGUAGCCAUAGCAGAGAAAGAUUAACACAACAUCACUUCUUUACAUCUGAACAAUUUUUCACAAUUUUGAAGUACUUCUCUUCAGAGAAACUAAUGGAACAAACCUCUUCUGGAUGUGACAUCACCCAUCACCAUUACUUUCUUGAGACACAUUUUCUGACAACAUAUAAGUGCUCCUACAAGGAAAACUUACAAUAGUGCUAUGUAACAAAUGUUUGUGAUAUUGUUCUGUAUAAAAUAAUUAUAAAAUACUGUCAACAAGGUUGAUAAACAAGUUCAGUAAAUAUCUAGGUAAAGGUUAACAACUAUAUAUUUACUAAUAACAUUAUCUGUAGUAGGGUUCUACAAUGUUUCCUAGAUACAAAAUUUCUCAUAACUUGUCAAAUGAUAAGAAUUCUUUGGUGAGCAAUGAAAAGAGAGGUGGAUUCGUUAGUUACAAGCAUGUUAUUUAACUUGCUGUACAUCAGUUUCAUUUCAUGAAAAGAAUGUAUUAUAUUGUUGAAUGAUCUAAUUAAAUGUGUCAAUUUGUA